AAAUAAGUGGCAGAAAAACAAACAUGCAUUGGUUUUAAACACCUAAAAUAAGGUUUCCUUCUUAUUUU
rnacentral:tRNA from 1 species